GAUGAACGCUGGCGGCGCGCCUAACACAUGCAAGUCGAACGAUAAAAGCACAUUCGGGUGUGUAUAAAGGGGCGAACGGCUGAGUAACACGUGGGCAACGUGCCCCUCGCAUUGGGUUAGCCACGGGAAACCGUGGAUAAUACCGAAUACUUCGGGACUUCCGCAUGGAUGACUCGAGAAAGCUCCGGCGGAGAGGGAUGGGCCCGCGGCCUGUUAGCUUGUUGGUGGGGUAAUGGCCUACCAAGGCAAUGAUGGGUAGCUGGGUUGAGAGACCGACCAGCCAGAUUGGGACUGAGACACGGCCCACACUACUACGGGAGGCAGCGGUGGAGAGUUUUACACUGUGGGAGAAUGCCUGAUGCGGAGAAGCGGCGUGCGGUAUGAAGGAAACCGACUUGUAAACCGCUUUCAGCUGAGACGAUGCGAGAGUGACGGUACCAACAGAAGAAGCCCCGGCUAACUACGUG
rnacentral:rRNA from 1 species